rnacentral:rRNA from 1 species
AAGAACUAACUAGGAUUCCCUUAGUAACGGCGAGUGAAGAGGGAGAAGCCCAGCACCGAAGCCUGCGGCAGUUUUGCUGUUAGGCAAUGUGGUGUUUGGGUCGACUAGUGGGAUUGCCACUCCGCUCGAAGUCCAGCAUUGAGUAUGGUACCCUGGAUUUGGCCCAUAGAGGGUGAAAGGCCCGUGCGAGCGGAUGUUUCAGACAUGAAAGGCAGUUCAUCAGGUCGACCUUCGAGUCGGGUUGUUUGAGAAUGCAGCCCUAAGCGGGUGGUAAACUCCAUCCAAGGCUAAAUACAAGCACGAGUCCGAUAGCGAACAAGUACCGUGAGGGAAAGUUGAAAAGUACUCUGAAGAGAGAGUAAACAGUACGUGAAACCGUAUAGAGGUAAACGGGUGGCGUCAAGCUGCAAGCCCUGAGGAUUCAGUCGGCCGUUGUGUAGUGUGUAUGCUUUGUGUUCCUCAGUCGGUGAUAGUGGGCGGUCCGCUGUGAUGGUGGGCCAGGCCGCAAGGUCUGGAUGUACGUACCACAUGUUCUGUGGCGUACGCCGCUCAACUAUUGGACUGGACGGCCGAUGCACUUCCUCUGUAUGGGUGAACACCACGACCGGUGGAACUGCCAGUCUGGCAUAGCCAAGUUGCGCCUGGUCCGGCAUUCGUGUCGACCGGGUGCGAUCACAGGCAAAUUCGGUGGACGGUGGAUGGUCCUUCGGGGCUGUUCAUGUUAUCGGUCACUGAUUGUCAACGGGUCUGUCUUCGAUGGUUGCAGUCCUCGAGGAUGGCCUGGUGGGCUUUGCUGGUAUGAAUAACUGUGCAGGGCACCGGAAUUGUCGGUCUCAAAUUCCGGUUGGCGCGCACACUGCAAGUGUGAGUGUCGGCGUCAUCGCGGCCUGUCGAUGGUUGGGUCUGAUCGUCGUGUUGCGCGCGAAAAGCGCGCCCGGCGGUGGCCUGGUCUCGGAUGGUGCUGUUGGUGGCGCUGCCGUGCGCCGACCGGUGUGGACCUGAUAGUCUGUGGUGUAGUGGUAGACCAGCCACCCGACCCGUCUUGAAACACGGACCAAGAAGUUCAACAUGCACGCGAGUCAAUGGGCGUAACGAAACCCAAAGGCGAAGUGAAAGCGAAGCCUCGACUUGUUCUCGGGGUGUGGUGAGAUCCUGCCGUUACUCGCAUCUGCACUGUUGUGUUUUGUGUCUCCACACAGGGCAAAGAGCGGUAGGCGCAUCACCGGCCCGUCCCAUGAUGUGGUUAUUGGUAUGCUGCCGUUGCGGCCUCCGUCGCUUCGGCGCUCCAGUACGUCAUCGGGGCGGAGCUUGAGCGUGCAUGUUGAGACCCGAAAGAUGGUGAACUAUGCUUGCGUAGGUUGAAGCCAGAGGAAACUCUGGUGGAGGACCGCAGCGAUUCUGACGUGCAAAUCGAUCGUCAAACGUGAGUAUAGGGGCGAAAGACUAAUCGAAC